GUUGGCCUCUCGGUGACCGUAAGAGAUUCAAAAUGUGUGGCCAUGACUUGGGGAGCCCUAGCUGAGCCCUAAAGAAGGGCGAGCGAGGUGGCUAACUAUGAUUUUGGUCGUGGGGCUGAACCUCUGUUUUGACCUCGCGGGACUGGUGUAUUUACUUAGAGUUGCUAAGGCCAGCACCUAACCCUAAAUGCCAGUUCUCUAGCCUGAUGGGGCUUGUCUUUUUGGAUGAUGUGCUUGAACGUAUGUAGAUACUAACCUUGAGUAUUAGUCCUAUUGCUUUGGGCAAGGCACAGGAAGACUUC